GUUCGAGGACUCGCGGGUGUGCAGUCGCCAGGCCCACAAAGUUGGAUGGUAAAAUCAAUACUGUAGAUCGCAGCAUGUAAGGACUAACCCAGUGCACCAUGAAAACGAAGGCAAGACAGUUUGUUACCAUAUGGCGGGUGGUGUGGGAGAGGCCAUUGAUCCUAUAUGAAAAAGGGUACUACUACCUUGGAUUAUGAAAAAUGAAUGUUGGACCUGUAGGUCCUAUGUGACCAAGUUCUUAAAAACACUCUAAAGAAAAUUGGAAGUGGUUUUUUUCUAAUACUGAAUUGGUCCACAAUAUAGGACAGGGGAGUCUGUAUAGUGUUCCAUUGGGAGGUGAGUCAGCUUACAAUAAUGGAAGAGGUAGAAGCUUUUUGUUAUUAUUUUGGAGAAAAAAAAAUUGCCAGCCUGCCACUUGUGCUAGGCUGCAGACGGCCCAUAAAGGUAGUUUGUCAGAUACUUCAGUAGUGAGAUGCUUACUGGAUGUGUUUUGCAGAAUGGUUUUGAUUUAGUUAACAAGUGUUUGUUGAGUUCCUGCUGUUGCAUAAGAAUCAGGAAUAGGUGAGAUCAGGGAAGGAAUCUGCUCUUACAGAGUUGAAUGCUGGAGGGGAUAGAUUCACUAAAGUACCUCCACAAUAAAUGCAUUUUUCCAUGUCAAAUAUGUGGAACUAAUAAUAAGUACUCAAAGAGGUUUAAGACAUUGCUGUGGCCCAUCUAUGAGUUAAUAAGGAACUGAAUUAGAAUCCUGACUUUGAGAGUGAAGAUAGAGGAUUAUAUACAAGGUAGAUGCAACUUGGUGAGUAUAAUUAAUUUGGGGUGGAAAUUGGGUAGAAGGAGGAAUAAAAAAUUAAUGUAUUUUUAGCCUUAAGUUCCAGAAUGAUGGACGCACCAUCAAGGUGUUAAAAUUGUUAGUUCCUUAGGAACAGUCUUUAUGUUUUCUAAGUCUUUUUAGCCCCCAUGACUCAAAUUGUACUUCCUUGCACAUAUUUGAUGUUAACAAGUAUGUUUUAAAAAUUUUAAAUAACCCCAUUUGCAAUAAAAUCAUUUGCAAUGAUUUUCUCACAGUCGAGGCAGGCUGUUGG
rnacentral:lncRNA from 1 species